rnacentral:piRNA from 1 species
UGAGUAGAAGGUUGCUGAGCAUCGAAGCU